UGAUUAAGAAGAGACCAGCAAU
rnacentral:misc_RNA from 1 species